rnacentral:misc_RNA from 1 species
GAUGAAGAACGUAGUGAAAUGCGAUAAGUAAUGUGAAUUGCAGAAUUCAGUGAAUCAUCGAAUCUUUGAACGCACAUUGCGCCCCUAGGUAUUCCGAGGGGCAUGCCUGUUCGAGCGUCAUUUUGACCACUCCCGCUUGCGGGGUCUUGGGCCUUCGCCUCUGGGCGGGCCUUAAAAUCAGUGGCGGUGCCGUCCGGCUCUAAGCGUAGUAAAUCUCCUCGCUAUAGGGUUCCGGAGGGAUGCUGGCCAACAACCCCCAACUUUUAAGGUUGACCUCGGAUCAGGUAGGGAUACCCGCUGAACUUAAGCAUAUCAAUAAGCGGAGGA